GCGAGAGUGGCGGAACUGGUAGACGCACCAGACUUAGAAUCUGGCGCCUUCGGUGUGAGGGUUCGACUCCCUCCUCUCGCA
rnacentral:tRNA from 1 species